UCAAACUUGGUCAUUUAGAGGAAGUAAAAGUCGUAACAAGGUUUCCGUAGGUGAACCUGCGGAAGGAUCAUUACUGAGGUUAUUCGGCGUCACGCCGGUCACCCGUCCUUUUGUCAUAAGAUUACUCCGGCCCCCCCGACAAGAGGGGGUCAGAGGUGGUCAUUUCCGCCGAAGCGUUUGCGUCCUGCCCCCGAGAGGGGAAGGGGCGUCGACCGCGGCGGGCCAUUUUUACAAACUCUGUAUGCAAGCUGAAGUCUGAAUUACAAGAAAUUGAAAAAAUGCAAAACUUUCAACAACGGAUCUCUUGGCUCUGGCAUCGAUGAAGAACGCAGC
rnacentral:misc_RNA from 1 species